CAGUCGCCGCGGUAAUACGGAGGGGGCUAGCGUUGUUCGGAAUUACUGGGCGUAAAGCGCACGUAGGCGGCUUGGUAAGUUAGAGGUGAGAGCCCGGAGCUCAACUCCGGAAUUGCCUUUAAGACUGCCGAGCUAGUAGGUGAGAGAGGUAAGUGGAAUUCCGAGUGUAGAGGUGAAAUUCGUAGAUAUUCGGAAGAACACCAGUGGCGAAGGCGGCUUACUGGCUCAUUCUAGACGCUGAGGUGCGAAAGCGUGGGGAGCAAACAGGAUUAGAUACCCCCGUAGUCCCUGUCUCUUAUAC
rnacentral:rRNA from 1 species